rnacentral:rRNA from 1 species
CCUACGGGAGGCAGCAGUGGGGAAUAUUGGGCAAUGGGCGCAAGCCUGACCCAGCAACGCCGCGUGAAGGAAGAAGGCUUUCGGGUUGUAAACUUCUUUUCUGGGGGACGAACAAAUGACGGUACCCCAGGACUAAGCCACGGCUAACUACGUGCCAUCAGCCGCGGUAAUACGAAGGUGGAAAGCGUUAUCCGGAUGUCUUGGGUGUCAAGGGCGUGUAGGCGGGAAUGCAAGUCAGAUGUGACAACUAUGGGCUCAACCCAUAGCCUGCAUUUGAAACUGUAGUUCGUGAGUGCUGGAGAGGCAAUCGGAAUUCCGUGUUUAGCGGUGAAAUGCGUAGAUAUACGGCGGAGCACCAGUGGCGAAGGCGGAUUGCUGGACAGUAACUGACGCUGAGGCGCGAAAGCGUGGGGAGCAAACAGGAUUAGAUACCCUUGUAGUC